AGAGAGAGAGAUCAGUGACAUGAGAGAGAGAUUUACAUGAAGAUGGCUGAGUGGUUCUCUUUCUCCCAGAAUAGAGCAGAACUUUCACCAGAUGUUUCCAUCGAGAGAGGAUCCACUUUGCAUUAUCAGCUCAUGCUUCAGCGCUCUGCGAGUGUUUAUAGUCCUGUGACUUUAACACUUCAUGACUGAGAGCUGCUGCUCAGCGACUUCACCCACAGCAACCAUGAGUUUGAUCAGCGUCUUCAUCUGCACACUGGCCCUCUGCGCUCGAGGAUCCAGAGGUCAGGUGACUGUGACUCAGAGUCCUGCAGUGAAAUCUGUUUCUCCAGGAGACACACUCACCAUCAGCUGUAAAACCAGUCCUGCUGUUUACAAUAGUGGUGAUUAUUAUUAUUUGUCCUGGUAUCAGCAGAAAGCUGGAGAAGCUCCUAAACUCCUGAUCUAUUCUGCUGAUGAAAGAGAAUCAGGUAUUCCAGCUCGUUUCAGUGGCAGUGGAUCUGGAUCUGAUUUCACUCUGACUAUCAGUGGAGUCCAGACUGAAGAUGCUGGAGAUUAUUACUGUCAGAGUUACCAUGAGAUCAGUAGUAGCGAGGUGUUCACACAGUGUUAGAGCGUCGUACAAAAACCUGGGUGUGUGUGACUGCUGCAGCUGGGACCUACUGCAGGUGCUGAGGGGGACGAUGUGAUCCAGCACACACACACACACACACACACAGUGUAGCAGUGGAAGCUAACAGCAUGUUCAUGAAUCAUUUUCCCCAGAGGUCGCAUGUACAGGGAAGAAAGCAGUGUGUGUAGAACAGAGCUGUCUCAGUCCUGUGAUGAGGCCGAAAUACUGACUGAGACAUUUCAUGGAUGUGAUUCCGAGUUUAUCUGCUGAACUACAAAGAGUUUAGUUGUAAAUGGAGCUCCAUGAUCGAACACGGAGUGGAACGUUAACUCCAAACAUUCAGUCACUUUAUGGAGUUCUGUGAGAUCAGAGGGUGAAUCAAUCUCAUUGUAAAUAAAAUGAGGUGGUGAUUAUCAAGCGUUUCACAUGAAUAUGAGCAAAACUCUAUCAGCUCCAAAUCUCACUGAUCUUCAUGUUGCAACACAAAGCUUAGAAAAGUGAAAGUUCUGCACUGAUUUGAUCUCACAGCAGCUAAUAUUACACAAUAAUGCUCUUUAACUCUCAUCAACAUGUCCUUUUAUUCCAGCUGCAUGAUCAUUAACUAUCAGGUUUUCAUUGGUUUGCAUCCUAUACAAAUGCCUCAAGGAUGUGGAAGCGGAAUUUUCAGGCGGACAAACACAUCGUAGAAAGAGAUCGCACCAUAACCGAAGAGCUGUGGGAAGAGGCAAAAAGCAGCUCGCAACACCACCUGAUCCCAUAACCCUUGUUCUUGGUGACGUUAGGGUUUUGCUGGGAUUCAAACCUGGUUCAUUGGUGUGAUAAUCCAGCAAACUCCCACUAGGCCACCAGGGGGAUGACACAAGUGCAGAGGCGUGAGGCGGAAGUAGAAAAGUAUCAAAAAGUUUAUUUACAAUAUUUACAGUCCAAACAAAAAUAUAAUCCAAAAAAAUGCUCAGAAGAUGAAGGGAAAAAUAAAAUAUCCAAAAGGUCAAAGUUAAAUACAAAAGCAAAAAACCAGAAAAGAAAAGGCAAAAUACCAACGCUCAGAAGAUCAAAAAACAGUAAACACAAAGUCCAAAAAGCAAAGCAAAGUGCAAAACCAAAGAGACAAUGGCAAGAAACACAGAACAGAGGUAACUGGAGCUAAACAUAACAGCACAAAGACUCCGUGACAAGAGGACUGAACUCAGGGGGUAUAAAUACACAAAAUAAAUUGGAAACAGGUGACACUAAUGAAAACAGGCAAUCAACACCAACACAAAACACAGGACACAGUGGCGACCUCUAGAGGCCAAAACAAACAUAGACAAAAAUCAGGAAAUAACAGCGGCCUCUAGAGGCCAAAACAGUCCAAGUCCUUACAGGACACCCCCCCCCCCCCCAGGAGCAUCUCCUGACAUUCCCAGGGCUAUCUGGAUGGGCCGAAUGGAAGUCCCGACACAGUUCUUUAUCUAAGACGUCCCGAGCGGGAACCCAGCAGCGCUCCUCAGUACCAUAGCCCUCCCAGUCCACAAGAUAUUGCAGCCCGCCGCGGACCCAGCGGGAGUCAAGCAGGUGAUGCACGGUGAAC